rnacentral:lncRNA from 1 species
GAGGAGAAGGCAUGGUGAUUGACGUUGGGCGGACCUGAGGGAAACUGCCCGACGGUGGCGAUUGCCGCCGGGCGGUUUGGAGGAUUAUGGGAGACAGCCGGGCGACACACUUAAACUGCCCAGCGGUGGCUCGCUGGACUUGGGCCUGUUUUCUGAUGCGUUCCUUACCUAUAAAUACCCCUUUUGCGAGUUCAGAGUCAUUCUUUUGACAGGGGAAGACGGCCAGACCUAAUUUUGCUCUCU